rnacentral:rRNA from 1 species
AUACGGAGGGAGCGAGCGUUAAUCGGAAUUACUGGGCGUAAAGGGCGCGUAGGCGGUUAAAUCAGUCAGAUGUGAAAGCCCCGGGCUUAACCUGGGAAUGGCAUUUGAUACUGUUUAGCUAGAGUUUGGUAGAGGGGAGUGGAAUUUCCGGUGUAGCGGUGAAAUGCGUAGAGAUCGGAAGGAACAUCAGUGGCGAAGGCGGCUCUCUGGACCAAAACUGACGCUGAGGUGCGAAAGCGUGGGUAGCAAACAGGAUUAGAAACCCCAGUAGUCC